UGCCAUUGGCCACGCCCUUGACUCAGCCUUGCUCCGGGGCUCUAGCGGGCCCCACCUUUCCUCCGUCCCUAAGCGCCCUAGGUCCGGUCCAGGCCCUAAGCACUAUCACACCCUCCCCACCCAGGCCCCAGCGAGCCUGGCGAGGUGGCGCUGCCGCACGUGGCACCCGCUGUGCGCCUGCUGGAGGGCGAGGAUCUCGAGGGGCCGCUGGAAGAGAGCGGCGAGCGGCUGCUGCGCACCCUGCAGGGGGCGCGUCAAAUGGUGCGCAACGCCCCCAAGUUCCGCCUGGCGGCUGCUCGGCGCCUACAAGAGGCUGCUCUGGGGAAGCCGAGGCGCCAGGGCACCGAGAGCUGACCGCCUGCAGAAGUUCCAGCGUGUCCUCAGCAUCCUGUCCCAGUGCCUGGAGCCUGGCCACUAAGAAGAGCACAGGUCCCUCUUUACACCCAGGUCACCCAUGUUCCCAGGAACCACCCAGAGACCAGCACUUUGGGAGCCUGAGGCAGGAGGAUCAUAAAUUGGAGGAUCAUAAACUGGACAACUCAGAGACCCUAUCUCAAAAUAAAAAGGGUUGGGGAUGUAGCUCAGUGAGAAGGCCCUGGAUAAAAUUCCCAGUACUGGUGGGGGCCGGAAAUCUGACCCUGAUUAUUGCACAUAGAUUCCAGGGAUGGGGCUGCAGGAUCCUCCUGCCUCACACUAGAAGACUAACCCAGGUAUCUUGGGAGGCCACUUCGAACAUGCAUGUGCUUGUACACACACACACACACACACACAUAUGACACUGAGAAAGCAGUGUCAAGCAGUGAGCAUAUGGCUUUUCAUGGUCACUUGGAGAUCUGGGAUCAGAGUUCAAAUCUUUCUCUGCCUCAUAAAAGCUGUGUGACUUCUGUCAGAUGCCUUGGCCUUUCCGUCCCCACCUUCGACAUAAUAGUGGGACUGCUUUCCAGGCAGGAGGGAAAAAUCAAUGUUUCUAUAAGAACCUGGGUGGGGAAUACCUGACACACAGUAGGUGCUCAAUAAACCCUACCUAUUCUCUGCAGCAGCACAUACAGAAGGAAUGAAGUUUGGCGCCUUUCUUCCUCUAUCAGAGUCACAAGCAAAUUCAAAGCCAACUCCCCAAAAGGGUAGGGCUUGCCCCAAGGAG
rnacentral:lncRNA from 1 species